GGGCCCGCACAAGCGGUGGAGCAUGUGGUUCAAUUCGACGCAACGCGAAAAACCUUACCCAGGCUUGAACCGCCGGUGACAGCCCUGGAAACAGGGUCUUCCUUCGGGACGCCGGUAGAGGUGCUGCAUGGCUGUCGUCAGCUCGUGUCGUGAGAUGUUGGGUUAAGUCCCGCAACGAGCGCAACCCUUGCCCUUAGUUACCAUCGGGUUAUGCCGGGGACUCUAAGGGGACUGCCCCGGAAAACGGGGAGGAAGGUGGGGAUGACGUCAAGUCCUCAUGGCCUUUAUGUCUGGGGCUACACACGUGCUACAAUGGGCGGCACAAAGGGUCGCAAUGCCGCGAGGCUGAGCUAAUCCCAAAAAACCGUCCCCAGUUCGGAUUGGAGUCUGCAACUCGACUCCAUGAAGUUGGAAUCGCUAGUAAUCGCGGAUCAGCACGCCGCGGUGAAUACGUUCCCGGGCCUU
rnacentral:rRNA from 1 species